rnacentral:rRNA from 1 species
AUGCACGCUGACAGAAUGCUUCACACAUGCAAGUCACCUUGAACUUCGGUUUGGGUGGCGGACGGGUGAGUAACGCGUAAAGAACUUGCCUCACAGAUAGGGACAACAUUUGGAAACGAAUGCUAAUACCUGAUAUUAUGAUUAUAUGGCAUCGUAUAAUUAUGAAAGCUAUAUGCGCUGUGAGAGAGCUUUGCGUCCCAUUAGCUAGUUGGAGAGGUAACGGCUCACCAAGGCGAUGAUGGGUAGCCGGCCUGAGAGGGUGAUCGGCCACAAGGGGACUGAGACACGGCCCUUACGCCUACGGGAGGCAGCAGUGGGGAAUAUUGGACAAUGGACCAAGAGUCUGAUCCAGCAAUUCUGUGUGCACGAUGAAGUUUUUCGGAAUGUAAAGUGCUUUCAGUUGGGAAGAAAAAAAUGACGGUACCAACAGAAGAAGUGACGGCUAAAUACGUG